CCCUAGUACUGCGAGUGAAGAGGGAAAAGCUCAAAUUUAAAAUCUGGCAGCUUCGCUGUCCGAGUUGUAAUUUAGAGAAGUGUUACCCGUGUUGGACCGUGUAUAAGUCUCCUGGAAUGGAGCGUCAUAGAGGGUGAGAAUCCCGUCUUUGACACGGACUACCAAUGCAUUGUGGUGCGCUCUCRAAGAGUCGAGUUGUUUGGGAAUGCAGCUCUAAAUGGGUGGUAAAUUCCAUCUAAAGCUAAAUAUUGGCGAGAGACCGAUAGCGAACAAGUACCGUGAGGGAAAGAUGAAAAGAACUUUGGAAAGAGAGUUAAACAGUACGUGAAAUUGCUGAAAGGGAAACGCUUGAAGUCAGUCGCGUUGGCCGGGGAUCAGCCUUGCUUUUGUGAGGUGUACUUCCUGGUUGACGGGUCAGCAUCAGUUUCGACCACUGGAAAAAGACUUGGGGAAUGUGGCAACUUCGGUUGUGUUAUAGCCCUUUGUCGUAUACAGUGAUUGGGACUGAGGAACUCAGCACGCCGCAAGGCCGGGUUUCGACCACGUUCGUGCUUAGGAUGCUGGCAAAAUGGCUUUAAUCGACCCGUCUUGAAACACGGACCAAGGAGUCUAACAUGCUUGCGAGUGUUUGGGUGGAAAACCCGAGCGCGUAAUGAAAGUGAAAGUUGGGAUCUCUGUCGUGGAGAGCACCGACGCCCGGACCAGAAGUUUACUGACGGAUCUGCGGUAGAGCACGUAUGUUGGGACCCGAAAGAUGGUGAACUAUGCCUGAAUAGGGUGAAGCCAGAGGAAACUCUGGUGGAGGCUCGUAGCGAUUCUGACGUGCAAAUCGAUCGUCGAAUUUGGGUAUAGGGCGAAAGACUA
rnacentral:rRNA from 1 species